GACGAACGCUGGCGGCGUGCCUAACCCAUGCAAGUCGAACGAGUGGCGGACGGGUGAGUAAUGUAUGGGAAACUGCCCGAUGGAGGGGGAUAACUCCUGGAAACGGUAGCUAAUACCGCAUACCAUCGGAUGUGCACAUGUGGGAUUAGCUAGUAGGUGGGGGAACGGCGCACCUAGGCGACCAUCCCGAGCGGGGCUGAGAGGAGGACCAGCCACACUGGAACUGAGACAGGGUCCAGACUCCUACGGUAGGCAGCAGUGGGGAAUAUUGCACAAUGGGCGCAAGCCUGAUGCAGCCAUGCCGCGUGUAUGAAGAAGGCCUUCGGGUUGUAAAGUACUUUCAGCGAGGAGGCGUUACUCGCAGAAGAAGCACCGGCUAACUCCGUGCCAGCAGCCGCGGUAAUUC
rnacentral:rRNA from 1 species